CAUCCCCAUGAUAACUAAUCUGUAAAUUAAAAGUAGUGGGCUGACAUGUAUUGAUGAAAAACAAUGUCUCUGAGGUAUG